CAGGACGUUGAUUCAUUUUUGUCAGAUGUUUGAUUGUGUAAAAUGUUCGACGUUCAUUUGAUAUCUGCCAAGGUUGUAGCGCUGGUCAUCUUUGUUAAAUACGUCUUGUUUCCUCGGUCUUUUAAAACAGCACUUCAAAUUUUAUCCAACUUUGUCUUACAAUUUCUGUAAAAAAUAUUGAGUAUCACAACUGCGUUAAAUAGGAUUACAGAAUAAGCCUUUACUUGACGUAAGCUUUGGUUAUUUCAUGAUGAUAUAUUUACUGUAUAUCAUGAUGUUCACCUUAAGGCUGCUCAAUUGUUUUUUACUAUUUUAAUUGUUACUCAAGGUUGGGUUCAGUAUAGGUCGUAUUAAUACAUAUACUAAGCAUAUAAUUAAUAAAAGAUUUAUGUCGAAUAUUAUCUAAAAUGCGACUUAAAUGUUCGCUUCAUUAAAUGCAACGAUUUUGUAUCAGCAUCAUCACUCAGAAUCAAGUUCUCCUCUUCAACGGUCACAUCAAGCUAAUCUGCAAUUUUUAUUACUGGUCCUCUCAUCUACCGUAUAAGCAGAUGAU
rnacentral:lncRNA from 1 species